CUGCAGCACAAUAGCUCUUCCAGCACGAAGCAGUAUUUGCCAUCCUCUCAAGUGUCCUUAGGCAUGGGGAAAUCAACCAGAGGAUUUCAUAAUUGAAGAUGAAGUUUAACAUAUAAAAAGAUGGCAGACAUUUUCACCUGGCCCAAUUAUGUCCUGCCCCACUACAAUUCUUCUGCAAUUUUUUCUCUGGCAUCUCCUUAACUUCCAUCAGAUAGAAAAGCUCAGUGAACACAAAAGCCUGCUCAUGUUUGAUCCUGAAUAAGAAACUGCUCCAUUGCCUUUUGAUGGUGGCAUUGCUUAACCAAGAUUGCGUUUUGGGGAAAUAUCCAUCACAUGCAGUGCAUACCGUUUUAUCAGAUGGUCAUUCCAAUAAAAUAUUCCACCAGUUCUAAAAUGGGAUGAACAGCAACAGUCUUAAAGAAAUACAACCACCAUAAAAGGCAGAGGCAGUGAAAAGGCUGUGAAGAUAAUCAGCAUAAAUGUCAUCCUGGAAUGGAAUAAUUUUUCUUUAUAAAUAAACACAGCAAGAAUCACAUUAAUAUGUUCAACAGGGAAGGAGAGAGCGGGAAAAGAAGAUGCAAGAAUCGGGGGGGGGGGGAUCACUUUGCCCUCUUAAGGCAUUCCUGUUCUUGAAACAGGCAUAAAGUGGCAGGAAGAAAACAAUGUGGAAAUAUUUCAGCAAAUACUGUUGCUUGAUUUGGUUGGAGUUGAACAGCAUCAAAAUCAAAUCAAAUCAAUCAAUAAAUAAAUAGAUUCAGCUCUUGAAGAGAACUUGCAGCAAUCCCAAGUGGAAAAAAAAUGAUGGAUUUUUGUGCAAUCUUCCAAGUUUCUCUAGAUAAGUCUUCUGGUACACUGUGAAUGGCUUGGAACUACAGCUCCCAGAAUUCCAAGCCAAUAUAAUGGUUGAGAAUUCUGGGUCUUGAAGUCACAAUGCGGUUAGGCACCAAGUUGGGAUAGGGUCCUUUGAUCUUUCCUUCCCCCACGAUACUUAAAACAAUAGCAGUCAAAUUGAGGGAAAUGUAUGAUUUUCAGUUUGGAAGAUCUCUGUAAAAGCUCCAAAGUAAUUCAACAUAGGAAGCUCUAUUGAAGGGAAUUUGAGCAGCAGCUUUUCCCUUUUCUGUCAAUAAUUGUAUACUUUUUCGUUAUAAAGGCUGUCCCUCCCACUUUUGUUCUUUCAGGAUAAAACUGGAAUUGACAAUGUGCCUUCCACAACUGCCAUACCACCUACAAUAUCUCUCAGUGUUGC